UGGGGAAUAUUGCACAAUGAAGGGAACUCUGAUGCAGCGACGCCGCGUGAACGAAGAAGGCUUUCGAGUCGUAAAGUUCUUUUAUAUGGGAAGAUAAUGACGGUACCAUAAGAAGAAGCCCCGGCUAACUACGUGCCAGCAGCCGCGGUAAUACGUAGGGGGCUAGCGUUGUCCGGAAUCACUGGGCGUAAAGGGUUCGCAGGCGGAAAUGCAAGUCAGGUGUAAAAGGCAGUAGCUUAACUACUGUAAGCAUUUGAAACUGCAUAUCUUGAGAAGAGUAGAGGUAAGUGGAAUUUUUAGUGUAGCGGUGAAAUGCGUAGAUAUUAAAAAGAAUACCGGUGGCGAAGGCGACUUACUGGGCUCAUUCUGACGCUGAGGAACGAAAGCGUGGGUAGCAAACAGG
rnacentral:rRNA from 1 species